rnacentral:ncRNA from 1 species
UUGUCGUUGCGAUAUUAAUACUGCUCAGUGCGAGAGUAACCGCAGUUUCGGACAUUUGGUUCAUGCACUCGGCCGAGCGGCCGGUGGUGCGAAGCUACCAUCCGCGGGAUUAUGCCUGAACGCCUCUAAGGCCGAAGCCAGCCUAGCCGAAUCCGGCAAGGAUAUGCUCACUGUGGAGCCCCAAGAGUCGGGAGGCUCUAAACAAUGUGACUUUACUAGUUGCGCUUUACUUCGUAAGGUGUGACGUCGAAGCCCAUUUGGACCACGGAGAUCGGUGCGUACGGUUUAACACGUGCACCACGGCUCCGAAGGUCUGGAUUUAACUCAGUUCGUUGUCGGGGCUCGGAAUAGUCUGUAGACGACUUACGUUCCUGGCGGGGUUUUGUGCUCGGUAGAGCAGCGUCAUGCUGCGAUCUGUUGAGACUCAGCCCUACGCCAGGUGAUUC